ACGUUUCAAUAAAAGACGGAUUCGGUCUGGAAGUAUAAGCUGCCAUUUCACGUUGGAAAGAUGCCAGGCGUCAGCACUUUAACCUGGAGAGGUGAACUCAAACCCCACGACCUGCCUUUUAAUUAAUAUGACAACUGGAGCCUAAACUACAGAUUUUGGCAACAACAGGCUAAUUCAAGAAAACCAAAACAUCUCAGAUUCUGAAAUAUAAAACACAAACAGAAAUACUGAAUGCACUUGGUAGGUUAGGCAGAUAGAAGUCAGAUGAUAUGAUGAAGGGUCUUCUAUCUAAAAUUUAUCACUGGAUUUUUCUUUUCUUGGGGCUACCUGACCUUUUGAGCAUUUCCAAUUCUCUGUUUUUUUUUGCUAAAAUAAUUGGUGAUUAUUUUUUUUUUUUUUUUUUUUUUUCGUAGUUUUAAUAUUUCCAAUUGCAGUGAACACUCAAUCCUAUCAAUGCAGGUUAAUCUACUCAGGUCAUCUUCAGAAAUGAAAGGUGACAAAGGUACAAUAAUUAAGAAUAGCGUAAGACUGAGUCCUGUUUACCUGAAUACAGGGGAAUAAAGCGUAUCGAAAAAGGACAACAAAUCGGAUCAGGCAACGAAUGUAUCAUGAGUUGCUUACAAGGUAUGUGCGGGCCAUGUUGAAGAAUGGCCGUGAGUGUUUUUUACAUGGCACUAACCUGAACACUGGAGAACUAAAGGCAUCCUUGUAUGGCGAGGCCCCACAGAAGACCCUGUCAAUGUCAAAAGAAAUAUGUUCUGUUCUAUAGUUUCAGCUCGUUGACAUCAAGCACAAGAUUUUUACUGCAAACUCCCAGAGUUAAUCAGUAAUGUGCAAACAGUUGGACAUUCUAAAAUGACUUGGCACCACUCUGGGAUUGCAAGGGGGGAUCAAGGAUUGAGCAUCUGUAACAAAGCCAAGUAUAGAGGGCCAAAGAACAUUCAGUUCUUGACUAAACCAUACUGGCAAAAUGGGAUGUAUUAUCAAGGGAGGUAACAAUUAAUAAACUGAAGAGAGACUCUCUGGGGUUCAAAGUCUGCACUUUAUCUGUUGUUACUACUUACUUUUUAUGGUUUAAUAUAAAAGUAUAUAUGUACUUUUUAAUAUUCCUUAAAUGUUCAAUGUGUAUUGUAUAGGAUUCAUUAAGUCAAUGAACAGUCUCAAACGAAUCCUUAUAAUUCCAUUGCGUUGUAUUUUACAGAAUCACUAACACACUUUCACUGAGGGCUUUCUACAGACAUACUUUAAGCCAAGGUGUCUGAUUACUGAACAAACCCUCGUUGAAACCCUGGAGUAAAUUUGACAGCAUAAUUAAAGACAUUGGGCCAGAAAAGGUCAUGUAGGGAUAAAUGACCAAAUGUUUACACUGAGGUGAAUAGGGAGGAGAGGUUUGGGGAGGGAAUUCUGGAGUUUGGGGCAAAGAGACCAAUGUCAUGGUCAAUAGUCAUAUGAGAAAAGCAUCAAACUGUUGCGAGGAUUGCAGUUUUGUGGACAGUUUGCAUGAUUUAGGAAGUAUGAUGAGUGGGAGGAGCCAAUAGCCGUGGGGUUUGAACACAAGGUUGAAGAUUUUAAAAUCGGGGUGUUCAGCAACAAGUUGCCACAAGGUCAGUGUGUCCAGGGGAGGAUGGGUGAUUGAAAUUUGCUGCCAAUUUAAGAUGAGCACAAUCUUACGAGGGCAGAAGUUGGGACAGCUGAAAAUCUUCUAUUUAACAAGUGGUUGCCUACUACAAUAAUAUAUGACUUUUAUUUCAUGCCUGUUAAACACUAGUUUCAUGUCAAAUUCCUCACUGGGUAUCUCCCAAACAACUCAAUAGAUGAGUGAUGACUGAACCGUCCUCUCACUGACUAGAAAGUAGUCUAGUUUCUAUUUAAACUUUCUAUUUAAAGUCCAAUAAAGUCCGAGGUCUAGAAGGGUCUCCACCCAAAAUGUCACCUAUUCCUUUUCUCCAGAGAUGCUGCCUGUCCCGUUGAGUUAGUUCAGGAAUUUGUGUCUCUUAGAAAGUGGCCCAGUUCUUCCAUCUACCACAUUGGAUACCUUUGAACUACCUUUAAUCGGACUUUAUUGGACUUUAUCUUGCACUAAAUGUUUUACCCUUUAUCCUGUAUCUGUACUCGGCAGUCAGCUUGAUGGUAAUCAUGCAUAGUCUUUUCGCUGAAUGGUUAACAUGCAACAAAAAGCUCUUCACUAAUCCUCGGUACGCGUGACAAUAAUAAACUAAA